rnacentral:rRNA from 1 species
GGAAUUUUCCGCAAUGGGCGAAAGCCUGACGGAGCAAUACCGCGUGGGGGAUGACGGCCUAUGGGUUGUAAACCUCUUUUCUCAGGGAGGAACUCAAUGACGUUACCUGAGGAAUAAGCAUCGGCUAACUCCGUGCCAGCAGCCGCGGUGAGACGGAGGAUGCAAGUGUUAUCCGGAAUCACUGGGCGUAAAGCGUCUGUAGGUGGCUUAACAAGUCAACUGUUAAAUCUUGAGGCUCAACCUCAAAAUCGCAGUCGAAACUGUUAGGCUAGAGUAUAGUAGGGGUAAAGGGAAUUUCCAGUGGAGCGGUGAAAUGCGUAGAGAUUGGAAAGAACACCGAUGGCGAAGGCACUUUACUGGGCUAUUACUAACACUCAGAGACGAAAGCUAGGGUAGCAAAUGGGAUUAGAUACCCCUGUAGUC